GUGAUCUGAACAGACAUCUGAACUCUAGGAACAAAGUCUUUCUUUCUGGUUUAAACUUAAAUACACCAUGUUUAAGAAGAUUCUUGUAUUUGUAAUUCUGGCCGUUUUACCAUGUACUGAAUGUCAGACAUUCACUCAGUCUGAAACAGUGGUUAAAAAACCAGGAGAGUCUCAUAAACUUACAUGUACAAUAACUGGAUUUACAUUCAGCAGUCUCUAUCUACAUUGGAUCAGACAGAGUCCUGGAAAAGGACUGGAGUGGAUUGCAUACAUCAGCACAUCCAGUUCUUCUAGCUAUUCCCAGUCAGUCCAGGGAAGGUUCACAGUGUCCAGAGAUGACUCCAGCAGUCAACUGUACCUGCAGAUGAACAGCCUCAAGACUGAAGACACUGCUGUCUAUUACUGUGCUAGAGAGUCACUGUGAAUGAGUUCAGAGUCAAAGCAAUACAAAAACCACUUCCUCAUUCACAUGAACAGAUGAUAAAUAUUAACUUAUCAGCUGCAUUGUAUUGCAUAAAAAUAAUCAACUAGAAAAACUCGUUCUAACAUUUUAAGAUGGUAAUGAAAAAAGUGGGCAUUUAAAUAUCCAUUGUUUCCAGUACAGUCCUGCCCCUAUUUUGUGUGAAUUAUGCUUAUGCUGUGAUACACUAUG